GGAGGGUGCGAGCGUUGUCCGGAAUCAUUGGGCGUAAAGGGCGCGUAGGUGGCCCGGUCAGUCUUUGGUGAAAGCGCGGGGCUCAACCCUGCGUCGGCCAGGGAUACUGCCGCGGCUCGAGCACUGUAGAGGCAGGCGGAAUUCCGGGUGUAGCGGUGGAAUGCGUAGAGAUCCGGAAGAACACCGGUGGCGAAGGCGGCCUGCUGGGCAGUUUGGCUGACACUGAGGCGCGACAGCGUGGGGAGCAAACAGGAUUAGAUACCCUGGUAGUCCACGCCGUAAACGAUGGGCACUAGGCGCUUGGGGGAGCGACCCCCCGAGGGCCGGCGCUAACGCAUUAAGUGCCCCGCCUGGGGAGUACGGCCGCAAGGCUG
rnacentral:rRNA from 1 species